rnacentral:piRNA from 1 species
UUCCAAUCACAUGAACGAGGUGCCUCCAGC